CCCUAGCCUUCCAAGCUA
rnacentral:tRNA from 1 species